UUUCAAUGGUUUGUCAAAAUCUUGGGUAUUCAACCGAAUAGCCAAGAAGACCAGAUCCAUGGAUCAGAAUCGCCGCUCCCCAUCUGAUCCGUGGAUCGAAAAGUUCGCUUUCCGUCUCGUGGGCACUGUGACGAAUUGAAUGCAGGGAUGAGUGUCUUCUCCCCCAAGGGUCAUUUGGUUGCUGAGGAGUGCGGGAUAGAGGUCUGGACCGCCGGCGGCGAGGCACCAUGGACAUGGAGUUUCUGAUGCAGAUCGGCUGGUGGGGGAGAGUUUGGUCCCCGCCCCUGUGCGUGCGAAAGGCCAAGUUGUGGCAGGGCCAAUGGUGCCGCAGCAGCACGCGGCGGCAGACAGCGGCGAAGCGCAGGGAAGGGAGAGGUCACCGCCGACAUCGGAGCUGUCAACGGGGAGGAUGAAUCCUCGGGCGCCCGGAUGGAACCAUAGCAGCAAGGUAAAUGUAGGUAGACACGACGCACCUGGAAAGCCAGCGAUGGCUGGUCCGGCAAGAACGAUCGCCAUCGCAAGGAGCGAGGUGUUCGGCACGGUCCAACGGUUCCCUGCUGCGCGGAUCUAGAGCGUGCUGCAUAUUCAGUAGUAUUUUCCUUCUUCCUUAUUUCCAAUGUGCACACUACUUGUCCUCUCAAACUAUGUGUAAAUUCGACUAAGUGUGCUUAUUUCCUUGUUGCUUACCAUGUUAAAUGGCAAAAGCACAUUGGAGCCUCCUCACGGUGCAUGUUGAGUAGUAUUUUCCUUCUUGCUUAUUUCCAAUGUGCACAAUACUCAUCCUCUCAAACUAUGUGUAAAUCCGACUAAGUUUGCUUAUUUCCUUCUUGCUUAUACCGUGUUAAAUGGCAAAAGCACAUUGGAGCCUCCUCACGGUUAAUCAUCAACUGAACUAACAUGUCUUUUUUCCUCCAGUUCGUUGUUUGUUUUCUAUCCAUUGUUGAUAGCACCAAACUUGUUACUGAGGUUAUAAUUGAAGAGCUGAUAAAGCAGUUAAAGGAACUCAUAUUUGACAAGGUAAAAGGAAUUCCAAGCUUCUGAUGUGCUUAUUUUUAAUUGUUAGUUAUAUUCACAUGAGACUAUUUAUGUUGGAGCUCCUUGCUGGAACAGAACGGGAGACACCCAUUGCUGCAGAUAUUUCACCCACAUGGCUCACAUUAUCUGACUCCGACUGGUUUGAUUUAUCGGAAUUACAACGUGCCUUACCUUAUUUGAAAGGCAAAUUACCUAUUCUAUAAACUCUUAAGUACUUUGAAGAGAAACAGGCCCCCAGAAAAUUGCUUUUUUUUGUUUCAGGAUGAGGCAUCAGUUAACUUGGAUAAUGUAGCUGACAAAGAACAUGAGGGUUCAUAAGACACACAGGUUGCAUGUGAUAGCAUGAAGGACCCGAUUAAAUGGCGGCAAGAACUGUUGGUGAAAAGAGCGUUUUCUGAGGUACUCAGUGAGACUUGCAUUGAAAAUGUUGGAGAGUCAGUUCGAACAAACUUUGGUGAAGAUGUAUUAUAUGAAGUGAUCUCCUUAGUCCAUGGUCUACGCUUCUACCUGUACCUCUAUAACCGGUAUCUCGGGAUAAUAUUCAUUCAUAUAUGAAAUUUCUUUGCGGAAGGAACUACUGUGAUAAAUAUGCUUAUACUUGCUUGACCUUCUGAUAAACUGUUAGUUUAACCUCUGUUUUCCUGAUUGUUAUUCGACAAUCUGGAAAUAUUCUUAUAAGUUGAUGGAACCUUUUUCUCUGGGAUGUUCCUUAGGCCCAUGUGCAGUAUUAAUGUUAUUCACUUUUCCUUGGUGAUGAAUUAACCUCCUGUAAAAGAAAAUGACACUCGAGUCUACACACAAACGUACCUACUGUUUUCUUAAUCUGACUCUUGAUACAAAUGAGUAAUCAACUGUUAAAGGGCGUCAUGAUUGAACACAUUUUCACUUUGUAAGAGGUAGUGCUGAUAUGCUUACUAAGAUUAUGCAUCUCCAUUUUCCAAGAUUUCUAUUGGUGCACAAGGUAAUGUUUUGGGGGGCUUCACUGACAGGAUCCACGUACUUCAGGACUGUGUGGGCAGUUCCCAUGUCUUUGCAAUUUUUUUCACCUUUUCAUGAUUUAGAAUUUAAUUUGGUUCAGAAAGCAUGGCUGAAAUGCAGCCUAUUAACACUAGAGGGUCAUGGUAUAAGUCAAGGACUACUUCGAUUGUGAGCCCACGAUGAUGAGCUGAUCAAGCAGGUGAUGAUGACGGCGAGGGUCUGCUUAGUGGGGGCAGCGGAUGGGCGCUGGCCGUAAUAAGAGUUGUCUGUAAAGCAUUUGCCAUGCCAUCAGGCUGUAUCUUCAUAUUUCUUCUUUCCUGCACUAUAAAUACAAAUGUAUGAGUAGAUCUGAACUUGUAAUUUCUCUGUUGCAACACAUGCCUAAGCUUCCUACAAAUGAUCAUGUACAAAACACAGACCAAACAACUCAAUGUACAGUGCCU